GAUGAACGCUGGCGGCGUGCUUAACACAUGCAAGUCGAACGAAGAUGCCGGAGUGCUUGCACUUUGGCAGACUGAGUGGCGGACGGGUGAGUAACGCGUGGGUAACCUGCCUUAUACAGGGGGAUAACAGUUGGAAACGACUGCUAAUACCGCAUAAGCGCACGGUAUCGCAUGAUACAGUGUGAAAAACUCCGGUGGUAUAAGAUGGACCCGCGUCUGAUUAGCUUGUUGGUGAGGUAACGGCCCACCAAGGCGACGAUCAGUAGCCGGCCUGAGAGGGUGAACGGCCACAUUGGGACUGAGACACGGCCCAAAACUCCUACGGGAGCAGCAGUGGGGAAUAUUGCACAAUGGGGGAAACCCUGAUGCAGCGACGCCGCGUGAAGGAAGAAGUAUUUCGGUAUGUAAACUUCUAUCAGCAAGGAAGAAAAUGACGGUACUUGACUAAGAAGCCCCGGCUAAAUACGUGCCAGCAGCCGC
rnacentral:rRNA from 1 species